CAGUUUAUUUCUGCUAGAGCCUAACAGUGCCUGCCUACCAUACACCUGUGACAGUGCGAGUUUAACGGGCUCGAGUCUUCGCUGCUUUUUCCCUUCCCUCGCAGUGGACAGAACAAGUCAAGUGCCCCGCCCCUCCGCGAGCUCCAUAGGCGGGCAGGCAGCACACCCGCCGCACCGAGCGAGCCCAACCGUCGGUAACGGAGAAGAUGGCAGAGCGGCAACAGCAGAAAAACGAAGGCAGGGUAAAAAUUGGCCAUUAUGUGCUCGGCGACACGCUCGGAGUGGGAACAUUCGGCAAAGUGAAGAUUGGCGAGCAUCAAUUGACAGGCCAUAAAGUGGCCGUAAAGAUCCUAAACAGACAGAAGAUCCGCAGUCUCGAUGUUGUCGGGAAGAUCAAACGAGAGAUCCAGAACCUCAAACUGUUCAGACACCCACAUAUUAUCAAGCUGUACCAGGUGAUUAGUACACCCACGGAUUUCUUCAUGGUCAUGGAGUAUGUGUCUGGGGGUGAGCUGUUUGACUACAUCUGCAAACAUGGACGGGUGGAAGACACAGAAGCUCGCCGUCUUUUCCAGCAGAUUAUUUCAGCUGUAGACUACUGCCACAGGCACAUGGUGGUCCACAGAGACCUCAAACCUGAGAACGUCCUGCUGGAUGCCAGCAAGAACGCCAAGAUAGCCGACUUCGGUCUGUCAAACAUGAUGUCAGAUGGAGAGUUUCUACGGACGAGCUGUGGCUCACCCAACUAUGCUGCUCCAGAGGUCAUCUCAGGAAGGCUCUAUGCAGGCCCAGAGGUGGACAUCUGGAGUUGUGGCGUGAUCCUGUACGCCCUGCUGUGCGGCACUCUGCCCUUUGAUGACGAGCACGUCCCCACGCUGUUUAAGAAGAUCAGAGGAGGCGUCUUCUACAUGCCAGAGUACCUGCCUCGCUCGGUGGCCUCGCUGCUCACACUCAUGCUACAAGUGGACCCUUUGAAGAGGGCCACCAUCAAAGACAUCAGGGAAGAUGAGUGGUUUAAGCAGGACCUGCCAGGCUACCUGUUCCCUGAGGACCCGUCCUACGAUGCUUCAGUCCUGGACGAGGAGGCCGUCAAGGAAGUGUGUGAGAAGUUUGAAUGCACUGAAUCGGAGGUUGUGUCAAGCCUUUACAGCGGGGAUCCACAGGAUCAGCUGGCUGUAGCCUAUCACCUCAUAAUAGACAACCGUCGCAUCAUGACCCAGGCCAGCGAGUUCUACCUGGCCUCCAGUCCUCCCCAGGGCUCCUUCAUAGAAGAGGGCAUGCCGCUGCCCCCCGGGGUCAAACCCCACCCAGAGAGGAUGCCUCCGCUCCUGGCUGACAGCCCCAAGUCUCGUUGUCCUCUGGAUGCUCUCAACACCACCCGGCCCAAACCUCUGGCAGUGAAGAAGUCCAAGUGGCACCUGGGUAUCAGGAGUCAGAGCAGGCCCUAUGACAUCAUGGCUGAAGUGUACAGGGCUAUGAGACAACUUAGCUUUGACUGGAAGGUGGUGAACCCGUAUCACCUGCGAGUGCGGAGGAAGAAUCCGGUGACGGGAACUUUGGUGAAAAUGAGCCUGCAGCUGUACCAGGUGGACAGCAGGUCCUACCUCCUCGACUUCAAGAGCAUCGAUGAUGACAUCAUGGAGGCGGUGGGCUUUAAGUCGGGGUCGUCCACUCCCCAGCGAUCGGGCUCCACAGCCGGUCUCCACAGACCCAGACUGAGCAUCGACUCGGCCAGUCCGGCGUUUGAUCUGCCCCAGCUCAGCUCCUCCCUCCCGGGGUCCCUGUCCGGUAGCUCCCCUCUAAUCUCCCCCCGCCAGGGAUCACACACCAUGGACUUCUUCGAAAUGUGUGCCAGUCUGAUCACCACCCUGGCGCGCUGAGACCCAUCCACUCCUGACCUCGCUGUAACUGGGUGUCGGUGGGGUUUUUAGGCCAAUUGCUGAUCUGGGAUGUAGGGAGAGUAGAUGAGUCUGGAGCGACUUCCUCUCUCUGUCUCUCCAUCUCUGUUCCAGUUGUAUUGGACUGUAAGGCUGAAAAGCUCACUGUCACCUCAGAUUAAGGAGGAAUAGAGAGGAAUACCUUCUUUUUUUUUUUAGAAAGUCAGAUUAAUAGCCUUUUUUCUUCUUCUUUUGACACAGCCUUUGGGUCAGAAUGGGGAGUUUAAAGUGAUCCUGGGACCGGAUUCUGUGAACUAGUAAAGGCCAGCAAAGUGAGCGGCAGCAGGUCACAGCUCUCAGUCCCUUCUCCCACAAAUAUCUUCAGUCUAUUAUCAACUGCUGAAAUGCCAUCGCCACCAUAACACUUAAUGAUGGGAAAUCCUGCUGAGUAUGCCCCAGACACUGAUCAGAGGUCAGUUUUGCUUCUUGUCUUAUAUUUUCCACAAGGUGCUGGUUGGUGUUCUGAGCGAUCGGAUUUAAUUUCAGGUUCAUAUGAUAUGGUUUGUAAAGAAACUGUUGAUGUAUAUUAUAUUUAUAUUACAAUCAUAUUGUGUAGUUGAAAAAGUUAGCUAACGUAUACCAAAUAACACUAUGCACCAUAGAAGGUGAUUAUUAUUUAGAUAUCAGAUCCAUAUUUAUUUUUGAGAAAUGUUUUUUAGGCACUGUAGUUGUAUUGUUUAAGCACUGCAUCAACGUAGAGUUUUAACCUGAUUUUGAAUAGAUUGUAGAAGAUUAAUGAACCCAGAGAGGCAGAAGGAUAGUACGGUCGUCUGUUAGGCUACAGGAACGUCUAUAUGUCUGUGUGUUUGUUAUAACACUAAUAACGUCGGCAAAAUACCCCCCCCCCCCACACCUUCUGUCUCUCUCUCUCCACACCCACACACACUCACCCACACACACACACACACAGAGUCCUGAGCCCGGCUGAAUGUCACCGUGCCCGGUCCGUUUCUGGUGGUUGAUUAAAGCAGAUAUGUGCUGAUCACCUCUCAUAACGGGCCGGAUGGGUAGCGCACUGCCACGAGUCCAUGAGGUAACUGUCUGAUUACGCAACAUUUUAAUUGAGAUAUUUCGUGACUAAAUUCUAAAUCUGCCACGUUCUGUCAGGUUAAUAUAAUAGUACAAUGUCUUCCUCUGAUGUAAAAGUACACUGUAAGUCAGUAGUAGGCAAGACCGUGGAGUUGCAUAUUAAGCGGUUUGGGGGUCCUUCUGUAAGUCACUUAGGUACAAUUUGGUUUUGGAGGAUUCUACGAGCAACAAUACCACAGGCCAAGCAAUCCAAACAGGCACAGAUAUACAACGUCUCACAGGAGUUUCUCUGCCUUGAUGUAGUUCAAAGAUGCUGUGCGUACCGUAAAUAUAUCUGCUAUUACUUUUCCCACACAACCAGCAUUUUAUGCAGUCAAUAACUGUCAGAAAUAUGCAACACACACAAAUCUGCAGACUUCAGUGUAGUCCUAAAGUGACAAGUUGAGCAACUGUUGCUGCUCGCUCAUGCAUGUACAGAAUGUAAUUUAAAAGCAAGCAGGCCCGUGAUAUCAGGAGGACAGACAUGGCAGUCAGUCACAUGGGCAGUAGCUGAAAAAGACAGAAGCCCUGUGCCGUUUGGAAUGGAGAGCGUGGGGAUUUUUUUUUUUUUUGCACUGAGAAAUGAGAAAAAUGUCCGUCAGAAAUUAGAGCCUAAUGUGAGGUCUUGAGUUCGAUUGUCUGAGCAAAUCUCAAUACUUACUUGAUAAAUUACUUCAACUGUCAAUCAGUUUUCAAUUUCAUAUUAGCAGUAAUAAACCUAACCAGCCCUGCUGUGUGCGUGUAUGUGAAGAGAUAAUGAGGUGAUGAUGAUAAUUAAUAAAAGAGGAAGAUGACUAAUCCAUGUAAGAAGGUGUGUAUUUGCUGCAGGACGUUAUAAGCCACAGAAACCUUUCUCCAGUUGCCUUAUGGAAUGCAACACAGUCAUUGUGUGCAUACGCUUCAAGAGGGUGUGUGCAUGUGCCAGUGUGUGUGUGUGUGAUCAGCUGGCUUCGGACGGGAGAGCAGGAAACCACAACAGAAGGCAAAACCAAAAAGAUAGGCUGGCAAACGAGACUUAGAGUAGUGAAAAGUAAUAAGGGAGACAGACUCACGACCAGCCGGGACCCCGCCAUGACAGUGAUUCUUGUGUUGUUAACUGAGUGCUUUGUUGGACCUCCAACCAUUUAAUGUAGGCGUAGGUUCGACUUUGUUACUCUACUUGUUUUAAAUCAUUAUCGUCUGCAUCAAGUCUGAAAUGUCAUUUUUGCCUUACGAGAGCAUUGGGAAAGCUUUUUGUUGAAACAGUGGAAGCCACAUUCUUUGUUACUCUGCUGAAAACCCUUUAAACAUGUAUUCUGUUUCCUGUGUGGUGUGACGUCGCCUACGCCACUGAAUAUACUCCGACGACAGGGAGAAACUGCUCCCUGCAGCAGAACACAUGCCACUGUACACACAGCUAUGUUGACCUCUACACUACAUUACACUCUUCUGCUGUGCCUGAAAUGACUUGUCCUCUGCACAGUGAGCUAAUUUGGUCACAUCAGGAUCACAUCUGGCCCAUUAUGCAUCCAUCUCUGAUUCUGCUCCUCAUGACAACCACAUGAAAACUGUUGAUCAACAAAGUGCACUUUCUUGGAGAGGUCAUGGGUCAAAUUUAAAAACUCCUGAUAUAACCAGUAUUUACUGUUACAUGUAGUACUGUGCUAUUCCAACUGUAUGCAACUACCAGUGGCAUGUUAGUCAUGUAAACUCUAAUCUGUGUUCAGGGCUGGCAAACACAUGCCGGGGGGUGGGGGGGGGGGGGGACGUAUUCAAAUAAAAUACUGUGUCGUACCAAAGCGAGUAUCUCAACAGCAAGGCUGUACUCUGUUUAUCUGUGGUGGGGCUCUUGUGAUUAAUGUAACCUUAAAUACCCCUGUGUAUGUCAUGUAUGGGGUGAGUUGUGUGGGCAACACAAGGGUCAUCAAUUUAAUACUGCUGGGUGUGUGGUGUGUGUGUGUGUGUGUGUGUGUGUGUGUGUGUGUGUGUGUGCGUGUGCCAAGGUGUGUUUUAACUGUCUCUGUGUGUCUGUUUGGGGUUUGGAAUUUUGUCGUUGUGCACUGCAUGAUACUGCUGUUAUGAUUUGCACUUUAAUGAGUAUUUAUUGAAAAACAAUAAACAAAAC